UACGUAGGCAGCGAGCGUUGUUCGGAGUUACUGGGCGUAAAGGGUGUGUAGGCGGUUGUUUAAGUUUGGUGUGAAAUCUCCCGGCUCAACUGGGAGGGUGCGCCGAAUACUGAAUGACUUCGAGUGCGGGAGAGGAGAGUGGAAUUCCUGGUGUAGCGGUGAAAUGCGUAGAUAUCAGGAGGAACACCGGUGGUGUAGACGGCUCUCUGGACCGUAACUGACGCUGAGACACGAAAGCGUGGGUAGCAAAACAGG
rnacentral:rRNA from 1 species